rnacentral:rRNA from 1 species
UGGGGAAUAUUGGACAAUGGGCGCAAGCCUGAUCCAGCCAUGCCGCGUGAGUGAUGAAGGCCCUAGGGUUGUAAAGCUUUUUCACCGGUGAAGAUAAUGACGGUAACCGGAGAAGAAGCCCCGGCUAACUUCGUGCCAGCAGCCGCGGUAAUACGAAGGGGGCUAGCGUUGUUCGGAUUUACUGGGCGUAAAGCGCACGUAGGCGGACUAUUAAGCCAGGGGUGAAAUCCCGGGGCUCAACCCCGGAACUGCCUUUGAUACUGGUAGUCUUGAGUUCGAGAGAGGUGAGUGGAAUUCCGAGUGUAGAGGUGAAAUUCGUAGAUAUUCGGGGGAACACCAGUGGCGAAGGCGGCUCACUGGCUCGAUACUGACGCUGAGGUGCGAAAGCGUGGGGAGCAAACAGG